rnacentral:rRNA from 1 species
AUGGGGACUCCGGUCAACAUCAUCGUCGGCUCGCAGGUCUGGCUGGAGGAUCCCGACGAGGCCUGGGUCGACGGCGAGGUCACCGGGAUCAAGGGCGCCGACGUCACCGUCGCCACCACCAACGGCAAAACGGUUGUGGCCAGCCUCGCGAGCAUAUACCCCAAAGACACGGAAGCGCCCCCAGCAGGAGUGGACGACAUGACGAAGCUCGCUUACCUCCAUGAACCGGGAGUCCUGCAUAACCUUGCCUGCCGGUACAGCCUUAACGAGAUAUACACGUACACCGGGAACAUCUUGAUUGCAGUCAAUCCUUUCCAGAGGCUGCCCCAUCUCUACGACGUGCACAUGAUGGAGCAGUACAAAGGCGCCACCUUCGGGGAGCUCAGCCCCCAUCUUUUCGCGAUUGCAGAUUCUUGCUACAGGGCAAUGAUCAAUGAGCAUGGAAGCCAGUCAAUAUUGGUGAGCGGUGAGAGUGGUGCUGGUAAGACAGAGACGACAAAGAUGCUCAUGAGGUACCUUGCGUUCAUGGGAGGAAGGUCUGGAACCGAGGGACGAACCGUUGAGCAGCAAGUUCUAGAGUCUAACCCAGUACUGGAAGCAUUUGGUAAUGCGAAGACGGUGAAGAAUAACAACUCAAGUCGAUUUGGUAAGUUUGUUGAAAUCCAAUUUGACAAAUACGGGAAGAUAUCUGGUGCGGCCGUUCGCACAUACCUCCUUGAACGAUCACGAGUAUGCCAGGUCUCUGAUCCUGAACGGAACUACCAUUGCUUUUACAUGCUAUGCUCUGCACCACCGGAGGACGUAAAAAGGUUUAAGGUGGGAGACCCGCGAUCAUUUCAUUACCUGAACCAAACAAGCUGCUAUGAAGUAGCUAAUGUGGACGACGCAAGAGAAUACCUAGAAACAAGAAAUGCAAUGGAUAUAGUUGGAAUUUCUCAAGAAGAACAGGAUGCAAUCUUCAGAGUAGUAGCGGCAAUCCUUCAUCUAGGAAACAUUAAUUUCUCCAAAGGGAAAGAAAUUGAUUCAUCACGGUUGAGGGAUGAGAAAUCAAUCAAUCACCUGAAAACAGUGGCAGAACUGCUAAUGUGUGAUGAGAAGUUGCUUGAAGACUCUCUUUGUCAGCGUGUUAUUGUAACACCUGAUGGAAAUAUCACAAAACCCCUCGAUCCAGAUUCUGCUCUACAGAGUCGUGAUGCCUUGGCAAAGACGGUGUAUUCACGACUAUUCGACUGGAUUGUGGAUAAGAUCAAUAACUCGAUUGGUCAAGAUCCUGAUGCAAUAAGUAUAAUAGGAGUGCUGGAUAUAUAUGGAUUUGAGAGUUUCAAGGUCAACAGUUUUGAGCAACUGUGCAUCAACAUGACAAAUGAGAAAUUGCAGCAGCACUUCAAUCAGCACGUAUUCAAGAUGGAGCAAGAAGAGUAUACAAGGGAUGAAAUAGACUGGAGCUAUGUGGAAUUUGUGGAUAAUCAGGAUGUGCUGGACCUGAUUGAGAAGAAACCUGGAGGAAUAAUUGCCCUCCUGGAUGAGGCAUGCAUGUUUCCGAAGUCCACUCACGAGACAUUUGCACAAAAGAUGUAUCAAACAUACAAAUCACAUAAGCGCUUUAGCAAGCCCAAACUUGCCAGGACUGCCUUCACAAUCAAUCACUACGCAGGAGAUGUCACGUACCAAGCCGAUUAUUUUCUUGACAAGAACAAAGAUUAUGUGGUCGCUGAACAUCAAGCUCUACUAAAUUCGUCAAGGUGCUCUUUUGUUGCAAAUCUCUUUCCUCCAUUACCAGAGGAAAGUUCUAAACAGUCCAAAUUCUCUUCCAUCGGUACUCGCUUUAAGCAACAACUCCAAGCCCUGAUGGAAACAUUGAGUACGACAGAACCACACUACAUUAGAUGUGUGAAGCCUAAUACUGUACUGAAACCUGGCAUCUUCGAGAACGACAAUGUCUUGAAUCAAUUGAGAUGUGGGGGUGUUUUGGAAGCAAUCCGGAUCAGUUGUGCUGGCUAUCCGACGAAGAGAACAUUUGAUGAGUUCAUUGAUCGAUUCGGAGUGCUUGCACCAGAGCUUGUGGACAGUUCUGACGAGAAGACAGCUUGCGCAGCAAUAUGUGAUAAAAUGGGAUUGAAGGGAUACCAGAUAGGAAAAACAAAGGUAUUCCUAAGAGCUGGCCAGAUGGCAGAGCUGGAUGCCAGAAGAGCAGAAGUAUUGGCCAAUGCUGUGCGACUUAUCCAGAGGCGUAUAAGAACGCAUCUUAUGCGAAAGGAAUUCGUCAGCUUAAAAAAGGCUUCCAUUCAAACUCAAAAGUUCUGGAGAGCACGACUAGCUAGAAAGCUUUUUGAGCACAUGAGAAGAGUCGCUGCUGCAAUUACAAUACAGAAGCACACCCGUACUCAUUCUGCCUGGAAAGCUUACCUACAAAUAUACAGAUCAUCAAUAACAAUACAGACAGGAUUACGUGCAAUGGCUGCUCGUAAGGAGCACAGGUUCAGAAGAGAGACCAAAGCGACCAUCAUCAUCCAGACUCGAUGGCGCCAACACAAAGCCUAUGUUGCUUACAAACUGCAAAAAAGAGCUUCUCUAAUUCUCCAGUGCUCGUGGAGGGGACGUGUUGCAAGGAAGGAACUUCGGAAGCUCAAAAUGGAAGCAAGAGAUAAUGGUGCACUUAAAGAAGCCAAAGACAAGCUGGAAAAGAGAGUUGAGGAACUCACAUGGAGAUUAGAUGUUGAGAAGCAUUUGAGGGUUGACCUUGAGGUAGCCAAGGGACAAGAAAUUACAAAGUUACAAUCUGCGUUGCAAGAAAUGCAAGAAAAGCUUGAGGAAGCCCAUGCAGCAAUUAUAAAUGAGAAAGAAGCUGCAAAGUUAGCAAUUGAACAGGCACCACCUAAGAUAGUAGAGGUGCCAGUGGUGGAUAACGCAAAAGUUGAGUUGUUGACAAGUCAAAACGAGGAACUUGAGACUGAGCUCGGUACGUUUAGAACGAAGGCUGAAGAUCUUGAGAAGAAGCUUUUUGAGAUUCAAAAACAGUCUGACGAAUUGUCACGUGAGACACAAGAACGGGACUCCAAAAUUAAUCAAGUUCAAGACAUGAUCGCUAGGCUUGAAACAAAUUUAUCCAACAUGGAAUCUGAAAACCACGUUCUACGCCAACAAUCGUUGCUUGCGUCAGCAGAUGAUGAUAAUAAGACAAAACAAAUAGAGAGUCUGGAAAGCAAGAUUGCCAUCUUGGAGUCAGAGAAUCAGUUGCUCCGCAGCAAUCCUGCACCAGCUGUUCAAGCAGUAGUCACUCCUGAAGUGAUUGAGCCAGCUGUUGUGAAGGUUCUUGAGAAUGGACACCAGCAUGGAGAACCUAAAAUGGAGGAGGUGGUUGUUCCCCCAGUAAAGAAUUUAAGCAAACAACAGUCGCUGACGGACCGACAGCAAGAAAAUCAUGAUGUCCUUAUCAAAAGCCUGGCUGAAGACAGGAGAUAUGACAACAGAAGACCAGCUGCAGCAUGUAUUGUCUACAAAUCACUUCUUCACUGGCACUCAUUUGAAGCAGAAAAGACAAACAUAUUUGAUCGUAUCAUCCAUACAAUUAGGUCAUAUGUUGAGAAUGCUGAAACUUCUGGAGAACUAGCUUAUUGGCUGUCGACAACAUCAACCCUCCUCUACCUUUUACAAAAUACACUUAAAGCUAGCAGUUCAUCUACUAAAGUACCAAAUCGCAGCAGGACCGCAACAGGCAACCUAUUCAAUAGAAUGGUGCAGAAUGCUCGAUCAUCAUCGUCAGGAUUAGGUAUUUCAAACGGAUACAGUGGAAUGGUAGGAAGAGCUGACACUACAUCAAUGAUAGAGGCUAAGUAUCCAGCUGUACGUUUCAAGCAACAGUUAACAGCAUAUGUCGAGAAGAUAUAUGGCAUGAUGAGAGAUAGCCUGAAAAGGGAAAUAAGUGCAAUAUUGACUCUCUGCAUACAGGCUCCAAGAGCUGGUCGUGUAAGAGCAUCUCGAGGAUCAUUGAAAAGUAUACACUCUAGUGCACUAUCAAGGCAAGCAUCAAGUGUGCAUUGGCAGAACAUUGUCAAGUGCCUGAAUCAUACACUGGAAACGAUGAACAAUAAUUAUGUACCUCCAAUGAUAAUUAGGAAAACAUUCAGUCAAGUAUUUGCAUUUAUGAACGUUCAACUCUUCAACAGUUUGCUACUUCGGCGUGAAUGCUGCUCCUUUAGCAAUGGAGAAUUCUUGAAGGCUGGUUUACAGGAACUGGAGCAAUGGUGCUCUAGAACAACUGAAGAGUAUGCAGGAACAUCUUGGGAUGAACUGCAACACAUAAGGCAGGCAGUUGGGUUCCUGGUUUUGCAUCAGAAAUCGCACAAGACACUGGAGGAAAUCACUGAUGAGCUUUGCCCCGUUCUGAGCAUCAGCCAAAUAUAUCGCAUCGGAACGAUGUUCUGGGAUGAUAAAUACGGUGCACAAGGUCUAUCCCAAGAGGUAAUUGGAAACAUGAGAACAAUGACGACAGAUGACUCGAUAACUACUCCGAACAGUUCUUUCUUACUAGAUGACGACUCAAGCAUACCGAUAUCCUUGGAUGAUAUAGCGCGACUGAUGCUCGACAUCAACCCGACUGACGUGGAGCCGCCACCACUACUGCGGCAGAACUCCCAGUUCCACUUUCUUCUGCAACAGCAUACAGACUGA